AGAUACCCGUGUAGUCCCAGCCGUAAACUAUGCUCGCUAGGUGUCAGGCAUGGCGCGACCGUGUCUGGUGCCGCAGGGAAGCCGUGAAGCGAGCCACCUGGGAAGUACGGCCGCAAGGCUGAAACUUAAAGGAAUUGGCGGGGGAGCACAACAACGGGUGGAGCCUGCGGUUUAAUUGGACUCAACGCCGGACAACUCACCGGGGACGACAGCAAUAUGUAGGCCAGGCUGAAGACCUUGCCUGAAUCGCUG
rnacentral:rRNA from 1 species